UACGAAGGGGGCUAGCGUUGCUCGGAAUCACUGGGCGUAAAGCGCACGUAGGCGGAUUGUUAAGUCAGGAGUGAAAUCCUGGAGCUCAACUCCAGAACUGCCUUUGAUACUGGCGAUCUCGAGUCCGGGAGAGGUGAGUGGAACUGCGAGUGUAGAGGUGAAAUUCGUAGAUAUUCGCAAGAACACCAGUGGCGAAGGCGGCUCACUGGCCCGGUACUGACGCUGAGGUGCGAAAGCGUGGGGAGCAAACGGG
rnacentral:rRNA from 1 species